UCCCACAACACUUACUCAAAGCAGAAACUACUCAUCCCCAGAGAAAUUUAUUCUGCUCUGGGAUGGGGCAUGAGAGCAGGAUCAACAAACCCAUCAAAAUACCAGGAAAAAACAGGUCCACAGAAGAUUUUCACUCCCCCUGAGACAACCAAUGCCAGCACACAGCGCUUACCAAGUUUAGAAAGCGGAUGCGCUGCUGCAGGAGGAGGCAGGAGGCAGAGAAGAGGCACCCAGAGCUGUUGAUCUGCAGCAGCUGGUGCCCCUGGGGGGUGUGUACCACAUCCAUGCCCUGCAGCUGCCGCCCCAGGCCCAGGACGUCGGGGACUGGAGCAUGGUGGAGCUGCUGGAUGUUGGAUUGGAGGUGUAUCCAUAUUCCCCAGGAGAGGCUGAAGAUGGCACACAGUUUGCAGUACAGAUAACCCUGAAGCUCCCUGAUAAUGU
rnacentral:lncRNA from 1 species